rnacentral:rRNA from 1 species
UACGAAGGGGGCUAGCGUUGCUCGGAAUUACUGGGCGUAAAGGGCGUGUAGGCGGCCAACUAAGUCCGACGUGAAAUCCCCAGGCUUAACCUGGGAACUGCGUCGGAUACUGGAUGGCUUGAAUCCGGGAGAGGGAUGCAGAAUUCCAGGUGUAGCGGUGAAAUGCGUAGAUAUCUGGAGGAAUACCGGUGGCGAAGGCGGCAUCCUGGACCGGCAUUGACGCUGAAGCGCGAAAGCUAGGGGAGCAAACGGG